rnacentral:lncRNA from 1 species
UGGUCUGCAGGUGGCAGGGGCAAACCACCACAAUUAUCUCCAAGUCCAGAGGUGGGUGUGGCCCACCACCACCAGGGGUCCAUGAACAGGCACCACUUAAGUCCCCAGUCACCUCAGAGGGCACCACAGAGAAGAGCAUUGUGGUCAAACACCACCCAUUGUUGCCCUCACUCCCCUGGGAACUCACACACGCUGCUGCUGCCACUGCUAAAUGCUCCAGGCACCACCUAAAUCUGUCUGAGGCUCAUUACCACUUCCCAGGGCCCUGCAACUAGGAGUAGCCUGCAUCACCUUCCUGCAGGUCCUUGCUACUGUCAAGAGCCCAGCAACAAGGCACUGACUACUACCAUGCCAAUUGCCUCCUUCUCCUUGGAAACACGCUCAGCACCCUAUAAAGGGGAUAACAGCCUGCUCACACCGAGGAAAGAGAUGGCAAAUAUCCAAACUCUCAUGCCAAAAAUAAAUAGUAACCCCCCCCCACAAAAUACAAAAGAGAUCUCCUGCAUAGAAACAUCCCUCCAAGACUACAAAGUUGGUUUCCAUAAACUCACAGAAAACAAAAAAUAUAAGCAAAGUGAAGAAGUUCAGGAACCAUUCCCAGUUAAAGGAACAGGACAAUUCACCUGAAGCAGCCAACAAUGAAACAGAUUUCUGCAGUCUAACAGACACUGAGUUCAAAAAGGAGAUAUGAAAAUACUGAGGGAAUUAAGGGUGAAUAUUAAGGAAUUAAGAGCAGAUAUAAAUAGUAAUGCAGAUUACUUUAGAAAGGAACUAGAAAAUAUAAGGAGGAGCCAAGAAAAAUUAGAAAAUUCAUUUGCAGAGAUGCAAACUGAAUUAGAGGCACCAAAGAGCAGAAUGAAUAAUGCAGAGGAACAAAUCAGUGACUUGGAAGAUAGAAUAAUGGAAAUCACCCAAUCAGGACAGCGGACAGAAAACCAAAUGAAAAAAAAACAUGAAAACAUGAAAAGCAAUAUAGGAGAUCUAUGGGAUAACAGAAAGCAGGCCAAUCUAUGCAUAAUAGGGAUUCCAGAAGGAGAAGAAAAAGAAAAGGGAAUUGAAAAUAUAUUUCAAUAUAUAGGAAAUUAUGUCUGAAAACUUUCCAAAUCUAAAGGAAAACAGAUAUCAAGAUACAGAAAGCACAGAAGGCCCCAAGUUGAACACAAACAGGCCCACACCAAGACAUAUUAUAAUGAAAAUGGCAAAAGUUAAAGAAAGGAUUCUAAAGGCAGCAAAAGAAAAACAGAGCGUCAAUUAUAAGGGAACCCUCCUGAAGGCUAUCAGCUGAUUUCUCUACAGAAACACUACAGGCCAGAAGAGAAUGGCAAGAUAUAUUCAAACGUCUAAAAGGGAAAAAUCUGCAGCCUAGAAUACUCUACUCAGCAAGAAUAUCAUUUAAAAUAGAAGAAGAAAUAAAGAAUUUCUCCAACAAACAAAAACUGAAAGAGUACUGCAGUACUAAAACCAUUCUAAAAUAAAUACUGAAAGGGCUUCUCCAAAUUAAAAAAAAAGAAUAGGAUGGAGGAAAUCACAAUUGUAAAGCAAUCACUUAAGCCAGUAUUCAGACCUAAAAGGAAAAAAAAAAAAGAACCUAUUGUAAAAGUGAUGAUAAACACAAGGAACAUCAAAAGGAGCAACGUGAAGAUGUUAAAAAAAAAAAAAAAAGGACUUCAAAAUCAUAAAGUGUGGGGAAGGAAAGUAAGAAAAUCUAGAUUCUCUUUUUUAGAAUAUGUUUGAGUCUCUAUGACUAUCAGGCUAAAGCAAAAAGACAUAGGAAGGGGUUAACAUACUUGAAAAACAGGGCAACCACAAAUCAUAAACCAAACAUUACAUUCACAAAAAACUAAAAGGAAAAGGACACAAGCAUAAGAUAAAAGGAAAUCAUCC